UGGCGGCGUGCUUAACACAUGCAAGUCGAGCGAUGAAGCUUCCUUCGGGAAGUGGAUUAGCGGCGGACGGGUGAGUAACACGUGGGUAACCUGCCUCAAAGUGGGGGAUAGCCUUCCGAAAGGAAGAUUAAUACCGCAUAAUAUGAGAGAAUCGCAUGAUUUUCUUAUCAAAGAUUUAUUGCUUUGAGAUGGACCCGCGGCGCAUUAGCUAGUUGGUAAGGUAACGGCUUACCAAGGCAACGAUGCGUAGCCGACCUGAGAGGGUGAUCGGCCACAUUGGAACUGAGACACGGUCCAGACUCCUACGGGAGGCAGCAGUGGGGAAUAUUGCGCAAUGGGGGAAACCCUGACGCAGCAACGCCGCGUGGGUGAUGAAGGUCUUCGGAUUGUAAAGCCCUGUUUUCUGGGACGAUAAUGACGGUACCAGAGGAGGAAGCCACGGCUAACUACGUGCCAGCAGCCGCGGUAAUACGUAGGUGGCGAGCGUUGUCCGGAUUUACUGGGCGUAAAGGGUGCGUAGGCGGAUGUUUAAGUGGGAUGUGAAAUCCCCGGGCUUAACCUGGGGGCUGCAUUCCAAACUGGAUAUCUAGAGUGCAGGAGAGGAAAGCGGAAUUCCUAGUGUAGCGGUGAAAUGCGUAGAGAUUAGGAAGAACACCAGUGGCGAAGGCGGCUUUCUGGACUGUAACUGACGCUGAGGCACGAAAGCGUGGGUAGCAAACAGGAUUAGAUACCCUGGUAGUCCACGCCGUAAACGAUGGAUACUAGGUGUAGGGGGUAUCAACUCCCCCCUGUGCCCGCCAGUUAACAC
rnacentral:rRNA from 1 species